rnacentral:rRNA from 1 species
UACGACUACAUAUCAGGCAUAUCAAUAAGCGGAGGAAAAGAAACUAACAAGGAUUCCCUUAGUAACGGCGAGUGAAGCGGGAAGAGCUCAAAUUUGAAAUCUUCAAGGGUUCUACCUUUACGAAUUGUAGUUUAAAGAAGUGUUUUCUGUUAGAUGAGUAGCAGUAAAGUUCCUUGGAAUAGGGACAUCAUAGAGGGUGAGAAUCCCGUAUUUGACGUUAUUCAUUCUAGCUGUGUGAUACACUUUCAAAGAGUCGGAUUGUUUGGGAAUGCAGUCCAAGAUGGGUGGUAAAUUUCAUCUAAAGCUAAAUAUUGGCGAGAGACCGAUAGCGAACAGGUACCGUGAGGGAAAGAUGAAAAGAACUUUGAAAAGAGAGUUAAACAGCACGUGAAAUUGUCAAAAGGGAAGCGUUUGACACCAGUGUUGUUUUUCCGAAAAUCAAUUACGAAUGGCUUGAUUUUGUGUUGUAUUGACCUUAUCAGCUUUCUUCACUUUUUUCGAGUCUUUCUUAAUGCACUUUUCGGUUAACAAGUCAACAUCAAUUUCUUUUGUUGUAAAAGAGUAUUCGGAAGGUGGCUUUCUUUUCGGAGAAAGUGUUUAUAGCCCUAUACUUCUACAAUCGGAGAGACUGAGGUCUGCAGCGUAGAUCCUUCGGGGUUAGAUACAUUUGUGCUAAGUUAGUAGCUUUUCAUAGACAACUUGUUGACUAUGUUUAGUCAUGUAGCUUACUCGCUUAUGCUAUUUUACCUACGCUUAGGAUGUUGAGUAGCGACAUACGCAC